rnacentral:lncRNA from 1 species
AUUAGUUUCUGUUCAAUGCUUGGCAAUGAAAAUAUUUUUUUUUUCUUUCUGUCAGAAAGAAAUCGUGUGAUUCUGUGACUGUUUUGCUUUGGAGAUUAUAUUGGUGUGUAGAAUCAUAAUAGAAUACUUAUGAGUGUGAAGUUCACCUUUGUUCUGAAUGUUUUUGUUGUUUGGUAGGACAAAUUUUUCAUCACAGCUUAAUGCAGCCACUGACCAUCUAUCUACCUAGUAAUUUUCUUCAGUGGAAGACUUCACAGCCGAAGAAAAAAAAAAUUAUUGGUUUGGUUUUCUGUGUUACCUUCUGGUGGUUGAGAUCAGUGGAUGGCAAUACUUUCUGAAAAUUGCAGACGUUACCAUCUUGUUAAGGUACAUUGCUGAUAGCAUGCUUAUGACAGUUGACAACUGUGAUAUGUUAUAAAAAAACACCAAAGGCAAAUAUUAGGCUUAACUAAAGUGAUGAGUUACUGCUACAAAGUGCCCAGGGUGUCAGCUUUAUUGAGAAAAAGGCUUUCGUAAGCGAGGAAAUGGUGUGCACAUAUGGUUGGAUUGGUGCCACCUUUCUGAAUAUACAAAACUAGUUGCUGACUAUGUAGGUGUUACGUUCUUAUUGUGAUUCCGUCAUGAUAGUCAAGCAUGUGGAAUAAGAUUUUCAUCACAUUGGACUUGAGCGUGAAAGAAAAUGCAGUUGCAUCAUGUUUAUUAGAUUCUUACUCCUACAGAAAAUUGCCUGAAGCUGCCUCUUCAAAUGUUUUUGACAUCCGAGAAACUUUCUGACACAAAGCAGGGGUAAUUGGAGGGCAGUAUUCAUUAUUAGGCUGAUGGUAUCUGCGUUAUAGUUGAUUGAUAUUGUAUGAGAUGUCGAAACACAGGCUAGUCAGCACCUUUCAUCCUAUUAUUGCCCCCACACAUGCUCAAAAAUCAGCGAAAAAGCGCAUUAGAAA